rnacentral:rRNA from 1 species
GAUGAACGCUGGCGGCGUGCUUAACACAUGCAGUCGAACGGAAAGGCCCAAGCUUGCUUGGGUACUCGAGUGGCGAACGGGUGAGUAACACGUGGGUGAUCUGCCCUGCACUUCGGGAUAAGCCUGGGAAACUGGGUCUAAUACCGGAUAGGACGAUGGUUUGGAUGCCAUUGUGGAAAGUUUUUUCGGUGUGGGAUGAGCUCGCGGCCUAUCAGCUUGUUGGUGGGGUAAUGGCCUACCAAGGCGUCGACGGGUAGCCGGCCUGAGAGGGUGUACGGCCACAUUGGGACUGAGAUACGGCCCAGACUCCUACGGGAGGCAGAAGUGGGGAAUAUUGCACAAUGGGCGCAAGCCUGAUGCAGCGACGCCGCGUGGGGGAUGACGGCCUUCGGGUUGUAAACUCCUGUCGCUAGGGACGAAGCGUUUUUGUGACGGUACCUGGAGAAGAAGCACCGGCUAACUACGUG